rnacentral:rRNA from 1 species
AGCCUUUCGAAAGGAAGAUUAAUACUCCCAUAAUUAUAUUGAUUGGCAUCAAUUGAUAUUGAAAGCUCCGGCGGAUAGAGAUGGGCACGCGCAAGAUUAGUUAGUUGGUGAGGUAACGGCUCACCAAGACGAUGAUCUUUAGGGGGCCUGAGAGGGUGAUCCCCCACACUGGUACUGAGACACGGACCAGACUCCUACGGGAGGCAGCAGUGAGGAAUAUUGGUCAAUGGGUGCAAGCCUGAACCAGCCAUCCCGCGUGAAGGACGACUGCCCUAUGGGUUGUAAACUUCUUUUGUAUAGGGAUAAACCUACCCUCGUGAGGGUAGCUGAAGGUACUAUACGAAUAAGCACCGGCUAACUCCGUG